rnacentral:rRNA from 1 species
UGGGGAAUAUUGCACAAUGGGCGCAAGCCUGAUGCAGCCAUGCCGCGUGUGUGAAGAAGGCCUUCGGGUUGUAAAGCACUUUCAGCGAGGAGGAAGGUGGUGAGCUUAAUACGCUCAUCAAUUGACGUUACUCGCAGAAGAAGCACCGGCUAACUCCGUGCCAGCAGCCGCGGUAAUACGGAGGGUGCAAGCGUUAAUCGGAAUUACUGGGCGUAAAGCGCACGCAGGCGGUUUGUUAAGUCAGAUGUGAAAUCCCCGGGCUCAACCUGGGAACUGCAUUUGAAACUGGCAAGCUAGAGUCUCGUAGAGGGGGGUAGAAUUCCAGGUGUAGCGGUGAAAUGCGUAGAGAUCUGGAGGAAUACCGGUGGCGAAGGCGGCCCCCUGGACGAAGACUGACGCUCAGGUGCGAAAGCGUGGGGCAGCAAACAGGAUUAGAUACCCUGGUAGUCCACGCUGUAAAACGAUGUCGAUUUUGGAGGUUGUGCCCUUGAGGCGUGGCUUCCGGAGCUAACGCGUUAAAUCGACCGCCUGGGGAGUACGGCCGCAAGGUUAAAACUCAAAUGAAUUGACGGGGUCAUAGCUGUUUCCU